rnacentral:lncRNA from 1 species
UGUUUUAAUUUUUAUUUUAAUAUAUUUUAAAAUGUAUUUUUCUUGUGAUGGCAAAGUUGAAUUUCAGCAAGCAUUUACUCCAGGUUUUAGUGUCACAUGAUCCUUCAGAAAUCAUGUAAUAUGCUAAUUUGGUGUUCAAGAGACAUUUACUAUUACUACCAACUUUGAACAGUGCUUAAGCUAUUUGAAAGAUGUGAAAGUUUUUCAGGAUUUUUUUGUUGUUGUUGUUGUUCAAAAGAACAGCAUUUAUUUGAAAUAGAAAUCUUUUCUAAUAAAUAAAUAAGCACUAUUACUUUUGAUCAAUAUACUGCAUCCUUGCUGAAUAAAUGGUAGUUCCCUGCUAUUUACAACAUUGUUCCACUGCGAAAGUGUUAUUUAAGUGCAAAUCAUGUGAACCUUUCUGUGGUUUACACCAUGCACCAAGUUUGUUGUUGCACAUAUGCUGCUACUUCAGAAGCAACACCGCAACCAAUCCCAACCAUUAUUAGGGAAAUGGCUUAAUUGGAUUAAAUAAUUAGCUGCAGAAGCACAUGGUCUGUAUGUUGUUCAGGGCUGUGGAUCUGCUGUUGCAGGCACAGCCAAUUCUCCUGGCUCACAGGAAAUACAGCUGACAUGGUGUUUUAUCAUCCAGCUCUUUGGCCCAACACUCCCGCACACAUUCAUACACACACACACGCAGAGACGCAUACUUGUGCUCCAUCAGCAUUUGGAUUUUGACAGUGUUCUAUUGUCUAACUCUCUUUCUUAUGUGUUUCUUCCUUAGUCAAACUCUCUACCGGGAUCCUUUAACCUGGCGCCAUCCCAUAUGUUCGGAAACAGGCUGAAUCCGAAUUCCGCAAUGGCUGCACUGAUCGCCCAGUCCGAGGGCUCCCCGGCAGAUCAGGAGCUUGGAGACGGAGCUCUCGGCUUCUCCAGAAGAGGAAACUCACCAAAGACAAACCUCUCCCCUCGGUAAGUCCUAUUUACAUUCCAGAGCUAGACUUCCCCUCCUCCAGGCUCUGAGAUUUCACUACGCCCUCCCUCCCUCCCCACCAAAGAACACACUCAUUCAUUCACUCCGUUUCCUCCCUUGCGCGCUCGUUUUCCGAACAGCAGGCAUUUUGAGCACUCAGCUGUUGUCCAUAUCGCAGUUACAAACCGGCUUCAGAGUUGGCCGUGGUGUGACAAUGUCUUCGAACGCAGACAGAAACAUUGCAUUUGUUUUCUGUAACCUGAGAUGUGGCCUUUUUUGCACUGUGAUUAAGGAUAUAAAGUGGAUUUAUAUGGAAGCAUAUAUAUAUACUGCACAAAAAUUCCUCCGGGAUAGUUGAAGUUUGGUUGAAAAGGUAUGUUGAUUUGAUUUGUGAUCGUUUUGUGUUUUAAGAAGUGGGUUUAUUUUGUGUACUUUCAUUGCUGCUUUAGUAUAUUUAGUGUAUGGAUAUUAAUAUUAAUAUAAAACACUCUUUUUUUUUUCAAAUGCGGUAUAUGACUUUUUAGAUCAGUUUUGUCUUUUUAUUCUUGCUCUCUGUUUAACUACUGAGGUCUAUGUUUUGGAGUUCUGCAAUUCACAUCUACUAUUUGAAGACAGAUGGAUAAGGAACAAGAAUAUGGGAAAUAAUUACAGAUUCGGCACACGAUGACGUGUUCAUCAUCAGUUACUCUGGAUAGAUGUUACAGGCAUUAUUUC